rnacentral:rRNA from 1 species
UACGAAGGGGGCUAGCGUUGCUCGGAAUUACUGGGCGUAAAGCGCACGUAGGCGGCUUGUUAAGUCAGGGGUGAAAUCCUGGAGCUCAACUCCAGAACUGCCUUUGAUACUGGCGAGCUUGAGUUCGGGAGAGGUGAGUGGAACUGCGAGUGUAGAGGUGAAAUUCGUAGAUAUUCGCAAGAACACCAGUGGCGAAGGCGGCUCACUGGCCCGAUACUGACGCUGAGGUGCGAAAGCGUGGGGAGCAAACAGGG